rfam:Canis lupus familiaris chromosome 4, whole genome shotgun sequence.
GGGGGGAGGCCGAAUUCUGGGCUGUGUCUCGGCGCCCUGUGCUCCGGGGCCUGCGCUGUUGGAUUCUCGCUCCCCGCCGUGCAGCCACCU